rnacentral:lncRNA from 1 species
ACCCCACCCCUCUAACCUCCCAUUCUCUCUCUCCUUCUCUCUCCCUUUCUUUCUCUCUCUCUACCUCUUUCUUUCUCUCUCUCCCUCUCUCUUGCUCUCCCUCCCUCCCUUGCAUCAGUUGCGACAAAGCCCUUGGCUUUCUCUCUCGGCCGAGAGGGCAGCAGUAGUGCGCGAUCUAAUGGCCUUGUGCAAUCUGGCGGCUGAGAGCCUCGAUCUCCUCUCCCUCUCCCUCCCUUUCCUACUUUCCCACUCCAUCUAAGAACCCUUAGAGCAUUUCACAUAUCAUCCAUCUGAGAAGGAAAGACCUAAGUCGUACCCGUUAAUCAUGUAUAGACUUAGAACUGUUAAUCGGGUCAGACCCGCUCUCCAUCUAUGUUAGAGGGGCAGAGGUCAACACCUCCGCCAUGCCCUUGUAUAUCCCUCACCACCCUCUACCAUGCCCCAUACACCC